ACUCCUACGGGAGGCAGCAGUGGGGAAUUUUGCGCAAUGGGGGAAACCCUGACGCAGCAACGCCGCGUGAGUGAUGAAGGCCUUCGGGUCGUAAAGCUCUGUCAGAGGGGAAGAAAUGCAGGGGUGCUAAUAUCAUCUUUGCUUGACGGUACCCUCAAAGGAAGCACCGGCUAACUCCGUGCCAGCAGCCGCGGUAAUACGGAGGGUGCGAGCGUUGUUCGGAAUUAUUGGGCGUAAAGCGCGUGUAGGCGGUUUGGUAGGUCUGAUGUGAAAGCCCCGGGCUCAACCUGGGAAGUGCAUUGGAAACUGUCAGACUUGAAUACGGGAGAGGGUAGUGGAAUUCCUAGUGUAGGAGUGAAAUCCGUAGAUAUUAGGAGGAACACCGGUGGCGAAGGCGGCUACCUGGACCGAUAUUGACGCUGAGACGCGAAAGCGUGGGGAGCAAACAGGAUUAGAUACCCUGGUAGUCCACGCCGUAAACGAUGAGUACUAGGUGUUGCGGGUAUUGACCCCUGCAGUGCCGCAGCUAACGCAUUAAGUACUCCGCCUGGGAAGUACGGUCGCAAGACUAAAACUC
rnacentral:rRNA from 1 species